CAACAAUUUGUUUGCAACUUUUGAAAAGCUUUCAAUGCCAGUGUCAAACCUAUCUUAAGUUCAGUCGAAAACUGGACAAUUGGCAUUGGGCAAGUUCAACGCCAGGUAGCUGAAUAAAGUAAAUCAAUUUUCGGCUUUAUCUAGAAGGAGUCUGUUGUCAGAUAACGUAUCGUAUAUAAACCGUACAAUCGUGUCGGCUAGAACGCAAUUGCCGGGCCGACGUUAAUUAAACUAUGUCCACAUUGGGAAUUAAAUCAUUUGAGAAUAUACGAGGAAGGGACAGAAACCUGUUUCCAAGCUGUAAAUAUGAUAUGACAACUAAUGACAGAUGGCUGAAUCUCGACUGUUUCUAUGUGAAGACAAAAGCGUGAAAAUUAUGAAAUUCACGUGGUUUCUGGUUUUUGGAUGUCUGCUGAGGGUAUAUGGAAUAUAUGGGCUCACUUGAGACUCUUAGCUUUGACACUUGAUUUGUCGAAUUCUUCUUAAUUUCAAAUUAAAUAUAACAUUUUA